AUCGCUUCUCGGCCUUUUGGCUAAGAUCAAGUGUAGUUUCUGUUCUUAUCAGUUUAAUAUCUGAUACGUCCCCUAUCUGGGGACCAUAUAUUAAAUUGUUUUUUGGAAUAGGGAGAUGGAAUAGGGGCUUGCGCCGUCCACUCCACGCAUCGACCUGGUAUUGCAGUAUCUCCAGGAAAGGUGCACCCUCU
rnacentral:snRNA from 1 species